ACGAGGCCACGCCAAGGCGGCUCUAAAGUUCGACGCUCCUCCCCAUUUUCAUUACAUAUUCAUGAGCCAAAAUAGCCAUUCGGAGGAGUGAGAAACGCGGGAAGAUGCUCCAUCAUGAAUUUCGGUUUUGAGUCGUUUGCUCUAGGAAAAAGCGAAACUUUAGCCCGAUCAACCAAUAUUAGUAGAAAUAUGCCAUGAAGUCACAGCGAGAGCGCGGUCCAUUGGGUUGAUCUCUUUCUGUUCCCGCUCGAUGACGCUCAAUUGCAAAGCUAAUGUUCGAGUUUAUUAUGUCCAUCAAAGAGCGGUCCUUUGGAGAAGGAUGGGGCAUCCGAAGCAGUGAUCCUUAAUCCAGUUCGAAAAUGAAGAUGCUUGAUGUACUUCAGCAAAAUGACCGUGGCGGCGGCCCCUUUAGAAGCUCACUGCAAUCUGGUUUCAUUUCACGCUAGAUGGCUCUUCUGUGAAUAACACAUUGGAUCUCUUUCGGAAGACAGUGGCUGAUGCUUAUUGCAUCGAAAAGUACGUAGAGAGCAGAUAAUUUUUUCAGAUGUUAGCCUUAAUGCGUUGACAAGACACAAGGUAUUGGGAUAAAUUAAAAUCCAGUAUAUUCAACAUUGUUAGCCAAGCAACAUCUCCAGAAAGAAUAAAAUGAAACGAAAGAGACUAUGAAUAAAUAGAGAUUGCAGUGAAAAGAAAAAUAAAGUGAAAGAAACCGAUAUGAGCUUUUUUGUGCUGAAACACAUUGAAAGAAUAAUGAACAAUAGAGGCUGUUGUGGCACUGAACCUGAAACAAACCUGGAGUAACCUGAAACAACCUGAAAAAUAUCUUAAUGAAAGUGAACUGAGAUUGCGCAAUAGAGAAAAUGCUAGUUAAUAAACAGUUGGUGGUA